rnacentral:ncRNA from 1 species
UCAAAGACAGUGAACGGGAAGAGUAGGCAGCAGCCCCUUCAGAGAGCGGAAUCCAUAGGCUGGAAGAUUCCGUAGGACGGAUGUUGGUCGAAGUCGCCCGGGAGUCGUUUUCCUGAACCUGAUUUCGCCGGAUGAAUCGCGAAAAGCUAGGGAAAGCCGGUUACGGCCGUUAUUCGUACGAGUGCCGCAGUCAAGAUGCCGAUUUUCCUUUGGGAAAGCAAUCGGAUCUGAGAAGAUAGCGAUUUUCCUACGGGAAACGCUUAGCUGCGGAACAAAGGUGGUACCGCGAAAGCAAGUCCUUUCGUCCUUUGC